rnacentral:rRNA from 1 species
AGCGAACGCUGGCGGCAGGCCCAACACAUGCAAGUCGAACGAAGUCUUCGGACUUAGUGGCGGACGGGUGAGUAACACGUGGGAACGUGCCUUUAGGUUCGGAAUAACUCAGGGAAACUUGUGCUAAUACCGAAUGUGCCCUUCGGGGGAAAGAUUUAUCGCCUUUAGAGCGGCCCGCGUCUGAUUAGCUAGUUGGUGAGGUAAAGGCUCACCAAGGCUACGAUCAGUAGCUGGUCUGAGAGGAUGACCAGCCACAUUGGGACUGAGACACGGCCCAAACUCCUACGGGAGGCAGCAGUGGGGAAUCUUGCGCAAUGGGCGAAAGCCUGACGCAGCCAUGCCGCGUGGAUGAUGAAGGUCUUAGGAUUGUAAAAUCCUUUCACCGGUGGAGAUAAUGACUGUAGCCGGAGAAGAAGCCCCGGCUAACUUCGUGCCAGCAGCCGCCGUAACAC